rnacentral:rRNA from 1 species
CCCUUAGAUGUUCUGGGCUGCACGCGCGCUACACUGAUGCAUUCAACGAGUUUCUUCCUGGUCCGAGAGGAAUGGGUAACCUUUUGAAAGUGCAUCGUGAUAGGGAUAGACUAUUGCAAUUAUUGGUCUUCAACGAGGAAUUCCUAGUAGACGUAGUUCAUCAGACUGCAUCGAUUACGUCCCUGCCCUUUGUACACACCGCCCGUCGCUCCUACCGAUUGAAUGCUCAGGUGAGCCAUUCGGACUUUCAUCAUGCUGGUUUCCAGUUUUGAUGAAGGAGAGUCUUGCGAACCUUAUCAUUUAGAGGAAGGAGAAGUCGUAACA